UGGGGAAUAUUGGACAAUGGGCGCAAGCCUGAUCCAGCCAUGCCGCGUGAGUGAUGAAGGCCCUAGGGUUGUAAAGCUCUUUCACCGGUGAAGAUAAUGACGGUAACCGGAGAAGAAGCCCCGGCUAACUUCGUGCCAGCAGCCGCGGUAAUACGAAGGGGGCUAGCGUUGUUCGGAUUUACUGGGCGUAAAGCGCACGUAGGCGGACUUUUAAGCCAGGGGUGAAAUCCCGGGGCUCAAACCCGGAACUGCCUUUGAUACUGGAAGUCUUGAGUAUGGUAGGGGUGAGGGGAAUUCCGAGUGUAGAGGUGAAAUUCGUAGAUAUUCGGAGGAACACCAGUGGCGAAGGGGGCUCACUGGACCAUUACUGACGCUGGGGUGCGAAAGCGUGGGGGGCAAACAGG
rnacentral:rRNA from 1 species